rnacentral:rRNA from 1 species
AUUGAACGCUGGCGGCAGGCCUAACACAUGCAAGUCGAGCGGAUGAAGGGAGCUUGCUCCUGGAUUCAGCGGCGGACGGGUGAGUAAUGCCUAGGAAUCUGCCUGGUAUUGGGGGAUAACGUCCGGAAACGGGCGCUAAUACCGCAUACGUCCUGAGGGUGAAAGUGGGGGAUCUUCGGACCUCACGCUAUCAGAUGUGCCUAGGUCGGAUUAGCUAGUUGGUGGGGUAAAGGCCUACCAAGGCGACGAUCCGUAACUGGUCUGAGAGGAUGAUCAGUCACACUGGAACUGAGACACGGUCCAGACGACUACGGGAGGCAGCAGUGGGGAAUAUUGGACAAUGGGCGAAAGCAUGAUCCAGCAAAGCCGCGUGUGUGAAGAAGGUCUUCGGAUUGUAAAGCACUUUAAGUAGGGAGGAAGGGAAGUAAGUUAAUAACUUGCUGUAUUGACGUUACCAACAGAAUAAGCACCGGCUAACUACGUG